CCUACGGGCGGCAGCAGUGAGGAAUAUUGGUCAAUGGGCGGGAGCCUGAACCAGCCAAGCCGCGUGAGGGAAGAAGGUACAGCGUAUCGUAAACCUCUUUUGUCAGGGAACAAAGGCGGGGACUAGUCCCCGGCUGAGGGUACCUGAAGAAAAAGCAUCGGCUAACUCCGUGCCAGCAUCCGCGGUAAUACGGAGGAUGCGAGCGUUAGCCGGAUUUAUUGGGGUUAAAGGGUGCGCAGGCGGCCUGUUAAGUCAGAGGUAAAAGCCCGGGGCUCAACCCCGGCGAGCCGUUGAAACUGGCGGGCGGGAGUUGGAGAGAAGGACGCGGAAUGCGCGGUGGAGCGGUGAAAU
rnacentral:rRNA from 1 species